UGGAGUUAGCAUUUUCACCACUUCUUUUGUCCGUCAAUUUCAAUGAUCUUCAGUUUGCAGCAGAUGCUGAAGUCAGCACAGAGUGAUAAAGCUAAAAUGAGACUCCCAGGGUAUGGCCCUCGUGCAAUAUGGCUGAUGUCCUUAUUAGAAGAGGAAGAGACACCAGGAAUGCAUGUGCACA